rnacentral:lncRNA from 1 species
UAAUCAACAUGCAGCAGGAUAACUUACAAGGAAACCAAGGUUUAAGAAUGUGCUACACACCCCGUCCAUUUUAUUCAGAGCGUUGGUCCAGCCUUGCAGGUGCUGGUUCAUGGCCUGUGGCAUGCCAUUCUCCUAUCCACUUUAAAAGAUGUCUUAAAGCUCGUCACACAACAAGAACUACAACUAAGUGGCCAAUGUGAAACAAGUCUCUAAAGUGAUCAAGAAUGUUUUUAAUAUUUUGUUCAGUGAAGUAAAUCACAUAACAGCAGUAAAUGUGAGUCAAAACACUUUCCAAAUUUAACAGCAUUUACAAAUGAGGAGAGUUUUGAGCCCUUGGUGCCCAAAACAAGUCAGCAGGUAGGCAUUCUACAGCUACCACAGGUUAAUCAUUAUAUACACACUGUAUAACACCAGCUUACUUAUACUGCCAUCAAGCACAAGAUGUCAAAGUCAGAACUCCAAUACAGUGAAACAGUAUUUCCCCAAGAAGCCAUCAAAGAGUUAGCAGAGAGUUUGCAAGUUUCAUUUACCUGCACAGGAGGAACAACCCGAAAUCUGAGGUGAAAAACUUUGUUUCUAGACAUUUUUUUUUUAAUUUGCUUAUACUUGAUCCAGAUUUUAGCUAAUGAAAAUUUAGUAAUUUCUUUCAGAUCCAUUGGAACUUGGCAAGAAAAUUCAGUUAGUGAGGCAUGAAAACUGCAUAUGGAGUCACAGUGAGAAGGAGAAGGGAAAGCUCAUUUAACUAUGCAGCAACUAGAACACACAGAGAACACCUAAACUUACCUUCAACAUGUUAUCCUAAGCUGAAGAUAAAGAAGGACACAAAACUCUGAAAUGAUCAUGAAGCUACAUAAUAAGGAAGAAUCAACAAUCCUUUGGCAAGACUACUUCUUUAUCCCUGAAGGACCUCUUGAGCAGAUAACAUGCAUUUACAUUGCUAAGAAUUCAAACAAGCACUUCCAGAAUUUCACUCAGCUAGCAAGUUUAUCUGCAAGAGGAAUCAAAAUUUGUCAGCAAUCUUGGAUUUUCCAUUUACCUCACAGUGUAAAACCUUAUCAUAACUUGACACUUCAACAGUUCUGCAUCAAAACAGAAGAAUUACCUGUGACAACUUAGGUCUUCAAAAUCAGUAUGUUUGUAUUUAUUUUCUUAUGACUUUGAAAGAUGGAUAUUUAGUUGAACAUAGACUCAAGAGGGUACUCUUGGCACUCACACUCCCAGGUAGCAGAUUUCCAGCAAGCCAGCCAGAACACCACAGACAUUUCACAUUCUACUCCACACUUAACGUUCAACAAACAUGGAUUUCUUGCUCCAGCAAGAGCAGUACAUGGAUUUGCAUGGUUGAACAUUCAACUGCAGUACUAGAAAAGGGGUGGGGAGGCUUUUAACAGCGAUGAGCUUCCCAGUCAUGUUCAUCUGAAAGAUACAAACGUAGGAGCAGCUAAAGACAUCAUCGGCCACCUGGAUGAUAGAAGAAGAAAAUAUUAAAGCAAAAAUAUUGUGGUCCUGAGUGAGCCAGAGCUAAUUGUGUGUGUGAAAAGAAUCGCAAGGUAAAGCUGGAAAGCCGCUUGGAUCAUGAUUGUUCUUUGUGGGCGAAGACGGCCACAGGAGUGUCCCUGUAGAAUGUGUGCAGAUAACACCUGGCCUGGCUUGAUAGCUCAGAUCCUUAUUCUGUAUAUAAAUGGAGUAAUAAAGUUGCAAGAGAGUUCUGCCCGGACA